rnacentral:rRNA from 1 species
UACAUAUCAAUAAGCGGAGGAAAAGAAACUAACAAGGAUUCCCCUAGUAACUGCGAGUGAAGCGGGAAAAGCUCAAAUUUAAAAUCUGGCAGUCCUAUGGCUGUCCGAGUUGUAAUCUAGAGAAGUGUUAUCCACGCUGGACCGUGUACAAGUCUCCUGGAAUGGAGCGUCAUAGAGGGUGAGAAUCCCGUCUUUGACACGGACUCCCAGGGUUUUGUGAUGCGCUCUCAAAGAGUCGAGUUGUUUGGGAAUGCAGCUCAAAAUGGGUGGUAAAUUCCAUCUAAAGCUAAAUAUUGGCGAGAGACCGAUAGCGAACAAGUACCGUGAGGGAAAGAUGAAAAGAACUUUGGAAAGAGAGUUAAACAGUACGUGAAAUUGUUGAAAGGGAAACGCUUGAAGUCAGUCACAUUGGCCAGGGAUCAGCCUAUGCAUAUCUUUGCUUGGUGUACUUCCUGGUUGAUGGGUCAGCAUCAAUUUUGACCAGUGGAUAAAGUCUGAGGGAAUGUGGCAUCUUCGGAUGUGUUAUAGCCCUUGGUCGCAUACAUUGGUUGGGAUUGAGGAACUCAGCACGCCGCAAGGCCGGGUUUUCAAACUACGUUCGUGCUUAGGAUGCUGGCGUAAUGGCUUUAAUCGACCCGUCUUGAAACACGGACCAAGGAGUCUAACAUGCCUGCGA